rnacentral:lncRNA from 1 species
CUUUUUUAUUUUGACUGUAAUGCAAACAGGCAUAAGUAUUCCAUAAAAUCAGAAGAUCGGAACUAUACAGAAAGAGGUGCAUGCUUUAGAACAAUGUGGAUAUCUUGCAAACAGAGCCAGAGUCAGUCCGAGAGAGGGGGCUGGAGUACAUUGUACGAAUGGCAGAGAUUUUAGCAGCAUUGAGAGCUCAGAGGUAGGGGAAAACCAUGUUUGAAACCACUUAAAGCACUGGUAUGAUCAAAUACAACACCAGCUCAUCCAUCCCUCCUCCCACUGUCCUCACCCCUUUACUCUUCAGAAGAAACCUACCUCAGGAUCACAUGAAAAGCUACAAAAUAAGCUACACACCCCACCUCCACACAUACCUGUCUUAUGGGAUGCGAAGUGAGAGUAAAGACAACGUGCCAGUGUUAAAUCAUGGCAUCAUUUGAUAAACCAAAUGAAGGCACAGUGACAUGAGGAGGGGAGGGAGGAGCAGGAGGACCAGAGAGCAGCGAGAGGUUGGAGUCCCUUCUAGCACAGCAGAAUUUACCCACAUCUGAAGACGUUGAGAAGAGGUUUAGGAAACCUCUGCCAUGGAAAGUUGGGGAGGUGCCUGCCCCAAAGCUGCCACCCUUCACAGACCAGUCCCCUUUCUCAUCAUGGCAUGAGGGAAAAAGGCCACCAGGAGAAAAACUAAUCCAAACCAACCUUUGAGGCUUAUGCUUUUCAAAGGUGCCUAAGGGAAUCGAGGGACUACGUCCCUGUUCCUAUUACAAAGAUGAAUUGGCACUGAAUAUCACAUUCCCUGGGUGGCUGGCAGAACUCAUGUUUCUAACUGCAUGCAAUCUAAAAAGCAACGAGUCCUGGCUGAAAGUCAUUUUCCUCUGUUCAUCUGCUGCCUGAGGAAUUGUGCACACUCUGGAAGAGCUGGGGAUGGUGCUGCAGACCAGGGAAUCUAUUCUCAAGCUCUUUUCAGCAUAUGAAUCCCAGGGCUUUUUGAAGGCAUCUCAAGGCAGCAGAGCACGUUUAACCUUAGGAAUUGUGGACAUUUGCCUAUUGUGUAGAAUUCUAGCAAAGCAGAAACUGGGCAUUGAAUUUCACUGGCUUCAAAGCCAUCACUUCAAUGCUGUGCACGGGGAGAUGCUGAAACACCAUCUUCUGUUUGCGGACAUCCUGUCGAGUAUUGUAAAACGUAUUUUGUCAAGACAUGAUUCCAUGCCACAAUCACACAGAGAGAAAGAGAAUAAAGCAGGCUCAGAAGCAAGUAGCAUUAAUGUCUCUUGUUGAAGCUGAAUAUGUAUUAAGGCAGUUUUGUUGCCCUUGGAAAAUCUUUAAACCUCUGUUAGCAAUUCUUGUGAGAACAAAAUAUGUGAUUGAAUCCAAAACAAUCUGAUACACUUUUUGUUGGCUUUCCCUACCCGAAACCGACACAUGAAAACAAAGCAUCAAAAAGAAGCCCCAAAUCUGUUGCUCUUUUACACCAUCUCUUUCAGUAUUUAGCCUUUAAAUUUUUUAAGUAUUAAGAAUAGUCAUGGAAAUAAAAUGCUUUGCCCAGUGUUAUUCACCCACUUCCCCGCCAUGGUAGCAAGGAGUAGCUGCAAAGCCUUGGCCUGUGGGCUCCUGCCCAAUGAGGGAUGCUUGGGGCAAGACUCACUGGUUCGAAUGCCUUGCUUUUGAAGUGCUUCCUCCGUCCUCUCUCCCUGAAAUCUGGCCAGGUAGGAAGAUGGAUAAGGCAGGAAAGCAGCAGCCCUCACAGUGAGGUGCUCCCACUGCUGAACAAGCUGUGGCCGCUCCGCUGUGGACUCACAAUCUAUUGGGUUUUGUUUGCUUGGCUGUUAUUUUCCCCUGUGAUUUCAAUGGUUCAAACUUCCAUCACAGCCAAACAUCUGUAGGGGUGGAGGCCAAGCCUUUCUAGUCUACUUCAUUCCUGGCACAGCAGGAAAAAGGUGUAUCUGCAUCACAAUGAUUAAAUAUUUCAUGAGUUACCCAUGCUAAAAGCAAGCCGAUGUUGGCCUCUGGUAAGGUGUGUUUUACUUGUGGAACCAAGUGCUUUAAAGCAGCAAUCUCAUUAGCUUUCUCCCACUCCCCUGAUUUCCUACUAAAUACACACAGCCAUAUGGAAGAAGCUAGAGCUCAGAUCUCCCUGUUGAGGGGAGAUUUCAAAUGGAUCACUAGAGUCAUGCAUUGCAGGCAAGUGCAGAUUGACACACACAAAAUCACUGCCACCAUGAAACUGCUGCUGCUGUGAAAGCCUGAUCCUGCAAGCUGCUGAAAUCCCCAGUGCCACCGAAGCGUGUGGAAGGUGUUUUGUAUCUGGGAGGACUCGGAUCCAAGUUCAGGAAUACAGUUUUCAAGAGCAUUCAGCACUGGCCAAAUUUGUCCCUCCUGUUACAGCAGAAGAAAUCAUUAUACCAAAACCAGAGUUACAGCAAAGUGGAAUGGUCCUGAAAAUGUGUCUCCAUCUGUUCUGUAAAGGGACUGUGCUCCCCUCUGGAACUAUCAAAGCGAUUGCAAAGUUAUCAGAGCAAUUCUGAAGCUGAGAGCUUGUCCCCAGUGAAAACAGGAACAAAAUCUAGUUUUGAGCAUAAAAAUUCUCCUUCCAAAAAGCACUGGGAACUCUCUGCAGCUCCCCCACAGGUAUGAAUCAGAGGAGUGAACAGCUUCAGUGGUCAUAAGUUGGGAGGCAGCAGCUUUGGCUUGGGCUUGCUGCAAGUCCAUGAGGCUUCAACCACAAACACACACUCUCCUCCUGCUGCCAGCUUAAUAAAACCAUGGUCUCCAGUACGUGGUAGGUGUUCACAGACCCGUGUUGCUUGCAGAAGCUGGUGUCCAGUUUUCACCCACACCUUGCACUGCCUCCAUAUCCCUAUCAAACCCCAUCACUGGGAGAUUAAAUGCAGAGCAGGGCUGUAGGUUUGCUCUCAGUCAUCCCGGGGGCAGUUUGCCCAUCAAGAAUUUCACUUGUCAAUUGAAGUCACUGUUCCUCUCAGCCUCAAGUCUCUCUGGAUAAGGAGCAUCUCUGGAGAGAGCAGGAACAGGAGGGCAGCGCGGGUACAGCAGUCUCUUCCCAGCACAAGGCACUGCAAGUCUGUCGCCAUUCCCAGGACUCACCCUUGCCAAGCAGCUCACUGCACCUUUGGCUGGGCAGGCAGGGCUGAGAAAGGAGGGAUCUCCAGAGGGAAGUGGUAAAGGGAGCACGGGAUACAGCCUGGAAUGGGGUGAGAGGCAUCGCAUACUAACAGUAAAGGAGCAAACGGAGUAAUCGCAGUCAGGCUGGGCACAGGUUCAAGCAGCUCUUAUCUCUUCCCAUCUCCUCUUCUGCAUGGGUGCAAUCAUUCAGGACGCAACUGCAAGUUGUGUUGCACGGACACAUUGGCUCACACUGCUCUGGGAGUAAAGAGAGUCCCCUGCUCGCCCCUGGGAUGUGUAGGCACAGGAUGGCACAGGGAGCAUGGACAGCCCAGACCCGUUUCUCUGGCCAGUAUGGACAUGACUGGCUCAGUUCCUGUAAGUUCAAUGAUCUCAGGCCCACCCAGCAACGAUCGUGGAGUCAUCUUCGUGAGUGUGCUUCUGAGGGCAGAAGUCUCAUUAUUUUCCUGCUGAAUCUCAUAAACAGAACAACAACAAACUCCCAGGCAGUCCUUCUGGGGAGAUGAAACCUUUGAAGUCAUCAACAACGCAGGCAGUAGACAUCCUUGCACUGAAUGAACAACUUAUUUUUCCCUGCUAGUGGACACAGCAGGUUGGAAAAACUGAGAAUCAUUUCCCAUGAGUUUUCAAGCUCAGGUAAUAACUUUCUGUGGACAUUUGAAGGACUUAUGAAUUAAAAUCUUUGUCAAAAAAACCCCUCACUUCAUGGUGUCUUGAAAAUCACAUCUCCUGUUUAGAGAAGACCCUCUUUAUGUUUAAUAUGUGGGGAGCAAAAAUGGAGCAGAGCUGCUCAAAACAGGCAGUGCUGGUGGUGGACAUCCUCCAGGAGAGGAACUCGGGCACUGGAUCAGGCUGGGUGUCAUCAGGCCCAGCACCCCCCACCUCAGGAACCGUGUAGGGCUAUGCAGGAGCCUGGAUGGGCAGCAGGCACCCGGAGGUGACAGAUCUGUGAACCAAGUGCCCAGGAGGCACAACCCCUCAUCCAUGACACCUGGAGCAGCUCACAGCACUACUCUGUGGCUGACCCCAUCUCGCUCUCUGCUGCUUAUCCAUGCCAGAGCUAUUGUAGCUACAGCCACACAUCAGAAAUGUCACACCAAGACGAGCAGAGUCUAGACAACUGGUGGAAGAGCCGUAUUUGCGGAAUGAUAAAGCAGAUCCCCAAGUUGAUUUUCUCCUUUGCUGUAGGAGAAAAUGAAGCACGAGGGGAGUGCAAAGCCCCUGCGGGUGAGAGGAUGGAGGAGAAGUUGAGACGUCUGAGACUGAGUCAACAAAUACCAGUGAAUCAAAAUUCCCAGUGGUACAGCUUGUGAGGAGCAAAUGGUCCAUCUCAAGCAGAGGGAGCAGAGAGGCAGCCCAGAGCCCUGGGGGACAUAUGAACUGCAGUCACGGACCUUCAUGGCAGGGAGGGUGUUUCUUCUCCAGGGCCAGGCAAAGAGGCUGCCCC